AUCUGGUUGAUCCUGCCAGUAAUCAUAUGCUUGUCUCAAAGAUUAAGCCAUGCAUGUCUAAGUACAAGCCGCUUCAGCGGCGAGACUGCGGACGGCUCAUUAAAUCGGUUACGACUCCACUGGGGCCAGACUCACCCGUGGAUAACGUGCGGUAACUCCGGUGCUAAUACAUGCAACAAGGCUCCGACCCUGUCUUCGCGGGCGGGGGAAGGGCGCACUUAUUAGGCGAAAACCAAUGGCUCGCUUCGGCGGGCGUUGGUGGACGACACCCGAGUAAUUGCCGCCGAUCGCACGGCCUCUGCGCCGGCGACGCCUACACUGAGUUUCUGAUCUAUCAUGCUGUCGACGGUUGGUGCUAUGCCAACCGUGGCGUUAACGGAUAACAGAGAAUCUGGGUUCGAUUCUGGAGAGGCCGCAUGAGAAACGGCGACCACUUCCAAGGAAGGCAGCAGGCACGCAAAUUACCCACUUCGGACACCGAGAGGUAGUGACGAACAAUACCGAUGCGGCGCACUUACGUGUCGCCGUAAUCGGAAUGAGUACACUUCAAAUCCUUUAACGAGGAUCCACUGGAGGGCAAGCCUGGUGCCAGCAGCCGCGGUAAUUCCAGCUCCAGCAGCGUAUAUUUAUAUUGCUGCGUUUAAAAAGCUCGUAGUUGAAGCGUCAGACGCGGGAGGGCGGACGGCCGCACUGGUCGCUCUCGCCCGACCGAGCCAGGCGCAGAGGGCGCGCGUCGCUUGCACUUUACCGUGUGAGCGCGCCGCCGCUGCACGUUCACCUUGAAGAAAUUGAACCGCUUAGAGGGGGCGAGCAGCUUGAACAGCUCAGCAUGGUAUGAUGGAACAUGGGCUCGUACUCAUUUUGUUGGUUAGAGAGUCGGCGAGCCAAUGAUUAACAGGGACUGCCGGGGGCAUUAGUACUCGGACGGGAGAGGUGAAAUUCAAGGAUCGUCCGAAGACUCCCUACUGCGAAAGCAUUUGCCAAGAAUGUUUUCAU
rnacentral:rRNA from 1 species